AACCUGUUCAAACCAACAGUGGAAGUAAAAGGAGUAUCAAAUGUUUCCCUAGACAUUCUGGCCUCCUCUGUCAAGCACGUGAUUGAGAAGAAAUGAAGGACUCUGAGCAGUGUAUCGCUGGCCACAACAGCAUACAUAAAUGGAACAAAAUGCACUACGGGAAUGAUCGUGUCAAUUGGAAGCUCAAGUGGACUUGAGGACUGAUUUUUGUAAGAUUGUCUAUGUAUUGCUUUUAUGCAACAAGCUAUUCUUUCUUGUUGAACCUUUCCAAGUUUGGUAUUUGGAGCACUUCAGAUGUUACGAAGUCUGCAAAAGAGACCCUGCUCAACUCAUGGUAGCUGAACCCGGAGAGCUCAAUCACUACACUCCAUUGUCAGCAUACACUGUGCGAGACGGACUUCUGGUUUCACCGAGGACACGUCUUGUACAUUAAGUUUCAUCGUGCUGCUGCGCAUAAUCUUGAGCGACGAUGACAUCAGAAAGGUUACCAUUGACACCUUGCCUGAGACUCUUGAUGACUUCUACUCAGUCAGAAAGACCAAACUUGGAUUGGAGGGGGACCUCGUGGAUCAGUAUCAACACCCUGAAUUUGAUAAUGAACAAUUUAAGCAGCUUCCUAAGGAUAAAGCAACUUUGAAAGUGUACACCAAGGCUUGUGUAUCAUACCACACAGACUCUACUCUAGACACAGCAAGCCUGUCAUCAUCUUCCCUUUAGGAGAGCCCCAGUGGUACCCAAACUCAUCAGCUGCCUCAGCCAUUUGUCAUUCACACUUUUUCUUUUGAUGUUGAGCUAAAACUGAGGCAACAAAAUGUAACCUACCAUAGUGAUGGGACCCUUCUUCCCAACUUUUGGCAGAAGCUGUGAGUGGCCGGAUGCUCUGAGCUCAGAGUCAAUGCACGUACCUCUGGGCCAACAAGUUCAAAAAGACUAAAGAGGGCCAAAAAGUCAGAAGGGAAUUUUCUGCCAGAUUUUCCAAAAGGGACAGUCCAAAGUGAUCUUGACAUGGAGAGAUCAGCCAUGGUCAGUGAGAUGAAGAAGAGAAAGAUUGACUGGAAGCUAAUUGGUGGAAUGAUGAAAUACACAUUCCCUUUACGGAGAAAUGAGAUUGUUGCUGAUGAACCGCUUGUGGCACAAGUCAAAGAAAGAUGGCAAGACUUGGUUUCUGUACAGCAGAUUGAAGCAGAAUUUGCUCGCCUUACGUCGGUUGACCUGAAAGGCUCAGGAUCUGGCGAGAUUCCUUGAGCUGUACAAAGCCAAGGCAAAGAGUGGCAUGUCGCGCCUGACCAAGCUCACAAGAUGUCUUGACAGCUCCACAUACAAGAAGAGGAUGGUUCUUCUGCCGGGCCUUCCUCAUUUUCUUAAGGAGGAUCCCUCCUGUGUUUUCAAGAUUGUGGAGGCUGCAGACAGAUUCACAGAGGGGAUGAAAGUUGGUGUUGUGAUGGUGAAAGAAGGAGAAGACAUCGUUGAUGUUUCAGUGGUCCAUGAGGAAACAGUGAUCCUGUCUGAUCUUAAGGACAUCCCAAGCGCCAUUGCCAUGCUGAUGGGGCUUCUUUAUGCCCUCAACAUAGACUACCCAAAUGAACUGAGGUACACAUUCAAGGUUAUUUAAAGGGUCCUCAUGAGCAUCGGUGGAGCACAGUGUUCUUCACUUGUGCAUGGUUUAAGAAACAGACUCUUGCGGAAAACCAUGUAAGUGUGCUCUGAUGAUUCAUCUCGUGCCAGAGUAUUAAAGUAUUAAAGGGGUUUUUGAUGUUUAAGUUCUUAUUUUGCUGUAUUUUUACUCAUUAUUUGCAAAUUCUCAUUUUUCUUUUGUACAUUUCUAAAUGAGAAGACAGAGGAACUUGUGAUGAAAAGUAAUUUGGUCGUCUUUUGCCCUCAGGUUUGCACAGUGUACUGUACAGACAUUCAAAGGUUCUCAUAAACAUUGGUAGAGGAUGGUAUGUCUCAUUUGUGCAUGGUUUAAAGAAGAGACUCCUUUUGGAAAAUCAUGUAACCCUGAACUCUGGUGGCUGAUAUCUUGUAAUCUUGUACAUCAGCUUUAAAAUGGGAGCUUUUGACUUAAGUUCACAUUUUUGCAUCUGUUCAAGCUACCAGUUGUAUAUAUUACAUUAUAUUUAAGUGUUGAAGCAUUCAGUACUCAGGACUCAGUCUCAGCGGUUUGAAGGUAGUCUUGUUAAAUUGGUUGAGAUUGAACAUGCAAAGUUAUUUUUUAUUUCAAGUUUCACAAGCUUCUUUUUGUUUAUAUCCAGAUACUAAGUGGUGCAGGCUUAUGCCAGAAAGUGAUGCUUCUGUACUUCUGUUCAUUGUUUGCUAUUUUAACAUUUUCAGUUUUAUGGUGACAGGUAAUAGAACGUGCAGCUGAAGAAAAUACUGCACAUGUAAAGCCAAUUGUUCUUCUAAAACAGCAGUACUGUCAUAUUAAUACUGAAAAUGUUUAAGUUCUGAAUUUUAUGAAGGAGCUUGGACCAAGUUUUGAUGUGUUCAAAUAUGGACUGUGGUGUUAGAUGUGAAUUAUGUCCCUGACUUGAUGACUUUGACCCCUUCUAUGCGAUAACAAGUGGUUUUCCAGUCUCUUCUCGCGGGUCUUUGCCAUUUUCUUGCUAUAAUGUUCCCAACAGCUUCGAUCUUUCUGUGGCCCUCCACUGACAACAUUUUCAGUUUUAUGGUGACAGCCAGGUGAGCGUGUGCAUUUGAAGAAAAUGCUGAACAUGUAAAGCCACUCACUGUCUUAAAUAGUAAUAUUGUCACAUUGAUACUUUCAAUGUUUAGUAAAGCCUUGACUGUUACAAAAUAUGUCCAUCAAUAAA